AAAUUUGUGGAGAAAUCGCGCCGGCCCAUCGAAUACGGAGUCGUGGGUUCAAAUCCCACCAGAUUUU
rnacentral:tRNA from 1 species